UCACAUUUAGUUUUUUUUUAGACAUAAAUAUCACCAUGGCCUAAUUAAUCACCUGAAAGCUAUUAAUUACGUCUGAUUAUUUGGUAUUUAUAAAUAUUAUCUCCUAAAUGUUUUAAAAAAAACGGUUUAGCAUUCGUUUAGGUCUAUCGUCUAGGUGUUGAGUGUGUUAGGUGACGUCUAAACGACCAUUUUAGUCGACUAUAAUCGUAUAAAUCUCGUUUUAGAAAGAAAAAAAAAAAAAACAGGUCACCUCUCUAAUUUUGACCCCAAACGAAUAUAUACGAUGAAACUCAAAUAAUUAAUAACCAUGUUCAAA
rnacentral:lncRNA from 1 species